AUAAAAAUAUAUUUUAAGUUAUCACUAAGAUUUCCAAUAUUGUAGGUUUUAAUUUGAUUAUUUAGAUCUUAGGCUCUACACAAAUCACACCCUUUAAAUAAAUCCUUCCGGGCCCAUUAAAAAAUUACAGCAAAUAAUCAGGAAUUUGCCGCUGGUGUUGCUAUGUAGAUGAUAAUGAAAUUAGGGUUUUGUUAUUGAUCUUGCUCUGUAGAGCCUACUACUGAUCGAUCAAUUUAGGGUUUCUCUUUGAACUCACUGAAACAAAAUCCACAGGGAUCACAAAAGGAAGGGAUUUCUCUAGAGAGAGGAACGGGGAUGAUCAGGGCAAGGGAUUUCGAACAAACAAUCAGGAAGCCCAAGAACAGAGAUGAUGAUUAGUCCUUCAUAGAAUUUCUUUAUCUGAAAAUUAGCUUAGUCCUUCAUAGAAUUUCUUUAUCUGAAAAUUAGCUUCAAUUUAGCCCUCUCUCUCAUGUUUCACAGAGUAUGAUUAUUUUGUGUAAUAAUCAAAUCAUAUAUAAAGUGGAUUUUGAUUAUUUAGGGUAGUUAUUUUACUUGUUUUCAGUUUAAGUCUAAAAGUAGAUUACUCUGGGAUGGUUGUGAUUAUGCUUUGAAGGUUGAAUUCAAUUAUAGAGUCGAAGAUUAGUAGACUCAGAUUAUUUUGAA